GAAAAAAUUGAAAAGUUCUUAACAUAAAUGUAAUUAUGUACUUAUGAACCUUAAGAAGGGGAAAAAAAGUUGAAGAGUUAGUACUGUAAUUAUGAGUAUGUUAUAUGUCUAUUGCUGGCUCUUUCCGAUACAGAGGGAAUGAAAGUUGCAGUUAUGCAAUAUGAAGCUAACUGAGUCAUAUCUUCAUGUGCUUUCUUUUUAGAGCUUGAGCAAGUUUAUUAUCUUAAUUUAACGCACUACCCAUUGAUGGACCAUAGAGGAAUUUUUGGGAAAGUGCAAUUGAAAGGGAUUAUACUGCUUUCAAGAAACUAUUUGGCUUUGAUUAGCAUUCUGAUUAAAGUUUGGUCCAUCUGUUGUCAUAACACACAUCUGGUUGUGAAAUGUUCCAUGUGAUGGUCAUGCACAAAUAUGCUUAUUCUAAAAUUGUAAAGCACUUAUGCUAUUCAUGGUUUGCUUAGUACUAAUUUAAAAUCCUAUGACAGAAGCAGUAAUUAAGACAAAUAUUUGUUUCUACAUCAUAUGUAUCAGAUAUUAAUGGUUAAUAAAAUCUGAACGUCUGUAGCCUUUAUGCCUGUCUUGCCGUAUAAGUAGCAUGUGCUAUGUUUGAUUGUAAAGUCAGAUUAGAAUCAUCUUUCUCCUGAGACAAAACUGAAGGAAGCUUUUCAUGUUUGCACAUCAGGUUGAGAUUUACUUUGCCAUACCU
rnacentral:misc_RNA from 1 species